rnacentral:rRNA from 1 species
UACGUAGGGGGCAAGCGUUGUCCGGAAUCAUUGGGCGUAAAGCGCGUGUAGGCGGCUAGGUAAGUCUGCUCUGAAAGCCCGGGGCUCAACCCCGGGAGGCGGGUGGAUACUGUCAAGCUCGAGUCCGGAAGAGGAGUGUGGAAUUCCUGGUGUAGCGGUGAAAUGCGCAGAUAUCAGGAGGAACACCAAUGGCGAAGGCAGCACUCUGGGACGUGACUGACGCUGAGACGCGAAAGCGUGGGGAGCAAACAGG